rnacentral:rRNA from 1 species
UAUGCCAAUGGCACUGCCCGGUAGCUAAAUGCGGAAGAGAUAAGUGCUGAAAGCAUCUAAGCACGAAACUUGCCCCGAGAUGAGUUCUCCCUGAGACUUAAAGUCUCCUGAAGGAACGUUGAAGACGACGACGUUGAUAGGCCGGGUGUGUAAGCGCAGCGAUGCGUUGAGCUAACCGGUACUAAUGAACCGUGAGGCUUAACCUUACAACGCCGAAG